rnacentral:rRNA from 1 species
CCUACGGGAGGCAGCAGUGGGGAAUAUUGGGCAAUGGGCGCAAGCCUGACCCAGCAACGCCGCGUGAAGGAAGAAGGCUUUCGGGUUGUACACUUCUUUUAUGAGGGACGAAGGAAGUGACGGUCCCUCAUUACUAAGCCACGGCUAACUACGUGCCAGCAGCCGCGGUAAUACGUAGGUGGCGAGCGUUAUCCGGAUUUACUGGGUGUAAAGGGCGUGUAGGCGGGCUUGCAAGUCAGAUGUGAAAACUAUGGGCUCAACCCAUAGCCUGCAUUUGAAACUGUAGGUCUUGAGUGAGGGAGAGGCAGGCGGAAUUCCGUGUGUAGCGGUGAAAUGCGUAGAUAUACGGAGGAACACCAGUGGCGAAGGCGGCCUGCUGGACAGUAACUGACGCUGAGGCGCGAAAGCGUGGGGAGCAAACAGGAUUAGAUACCCCAGUAGUC